rnacentral:rRNA from 1 species
GUGGGGAAUCUUCCGCAAUGGACGAAAGUCUGACGGAGCAACGCCGCGUGAGUGAUGAAGGUCUUCGGAUUGUAAAGCUCUGUUAAUCGGGACGAAAGAGCCUAGUGUGAAUAAUGCUAGGAAGUGACGGUACCGGAAUAGAAAGCCACGGCUAACUACGUGCCAGCAGCCGCGGUAAUACGUAGGUGGCAAGCGUUGUCCGGAAUUAUUGGGCGUAAAGCGCGCGCAGGCGGAUCUGCCAGUCUGUCUUAAAAGUUCGGGGCUUAACCCCUUGAUGGGAUGGAAACUACAGAUCUAGAGUAUCGGAGAGGAAAGUGGAAUUCCUAGUGUAGCGGUGAAAUGCGUAGAUAUUAGGAAGAACACCAGUGGCGAAGGCGACUUUCUGGACGAAAACUGACGCUGAGGCGCGAAAGCCAGGGGAGCGAACGGGAUUAGAAACCCGAGUAGUCC